UUACGGCCAUAUCCCGUUAAAACAGCGGUUCCCUUACGAUCACCGCAGUUAAAUAACAUCGGGCCUGGUCAGUAGCUAGUUGGGUGAGAGCCUUGGAAUGUCAGGUGCUGUGA